rnacentral:lncRNA from 1 species
AGCUGCCUCAUGGGGAAGAUAAGGGCAGAGAGGUAGAGCUGAUUUUGGAUAGUUCUGGCAAAUUUUUGAUAAUAUCAAACUGCUUCCCUGCUUCCUGUGUAUUUUAUCAGUGGGUAUUCAUUCUUUCAUUUCUUAAGUAAACUUCUAUUACCCUAGAAAGGGUGGCUAGGGCAGGGUGAACUUUCAUGACACACAGCAAAAUAUAAAUAGAGCCACAGUUAGCACACAUUAGCUUGGCAUCUGAGCUUCCUGUGUCUUGAAAUUGCUCUGCACAUUAAGCUUCUCAUUUGUACCUGUCCUCUAGGUGAUGAAAUGGAUAUGCAAAUUCUUCAAAAAUAUUCACCCUCUUCUUUCUAAGGACAAUGGAAGUAAUUGUAGUAUGAUUCCAUCAUGUGUCUGAUGGAGGCAAACUUAAUAUUUGUCUCUGAAUCGCCUUUCAUUCACUUCUUUUCAUGCAAGAAACAAAAUUGACACUUUCUUUUUUUCAUGGCUUGUAAAUUCUAAGAAGUGCCGUUGUUUUUCUUUCUACCUGAUCUGUAGCCCAAAAUGGAAAAGAGUUUUUAUUGUUCACCAAUGCAAAACCACAAUGCUCGCAGUUCCCCCAUCCUGGCUACAGCAUAAAUUUAAAGUUUCUGAAGAACUAUUAGAAUAAUAAAUCACAGAGCAGAGCUGUUCACCCAGUCUUUUCUGCCCUUCUCCCUGUACUAGCCUCAGAUUUAUCAUAUCAAAAUGGAGCUGGCUGUAAUGCAUGCUUCCUUUUAUUAUCUUGUGUAAGCUUUCUAGAUAAAUUUAAAUUCUCAUAGAUUCAUUUCCUCUUACCAUUCACUGCUUUCCCGAGAGGUUUUAUUAAUGUUAUGAUACUUGAAUUGUUGAAUUCCCUCCUCCCCUUUAUAAUGUAACUGCACUAGUUGACACUUGGUAGAUUUAUCGUCACCGUGGUUCAAAUUGAGUCAGUGAUUUUCUUUCAUUCUGUUGGCAGUCUUUUUAACUGCGAAACCUAGCCUGAUUUCACCUGAACCAUAACUUUUGGCCAAUGUUUCUUAGCUGUAGGUUGCAAAGCAGGAACUUACAAACUUCUCACGUGCCCUGACCUACAUCUUUUGGUGGUUUUGAUUCCUGCAACCAGUUAACACGUUUAAGGAAUACUUAAUUUAUUGUUAAGUAUUGUUUGAGUAUAGAAUAUGUAUGUGAGAGAGUGAGCACACACAUGUGCCACAGAGGGAUCCCAGAGGGCUUCGGGUAGUCUAUUCUCUCCUUCCUCCUUUAUGUUGGUCCUGGGAAUUGAACUACUAUACUGACUAAGCCCUUUGGCUAGCCUCUCAUUUAACAUAUUUGAAAGAUAUCUUUGAGAGGAGUGUUACUUAGAAAAAAGUUAAGGGUUUUUGGUCUAGUUGUGGUUUAGGGUAGGAAAGAGGUGAUUAAAGAGGAGGAGACAUCUAUGUAAGCAAAACCAUCUGAUGCCAGAUGAUUUCUGGUCUGCUAGGCUGAGCAAAGUCUAAGAUGUAGUGG